UAAAGUCGUUGCUGGCAGAGAACUCGCACAAGUGCAAUACUGAUGCGAGCACUGAAUAAAAGGCACCGAUGCUAGGCCGUCAGCGACACUAAUGCCUUGGCUCCUCAGGCCUGUACCACUGGCAGACGGCGUUUUCUAAAUUAUAAAUUCCCUGAUUGUUAUUUCCUGUUGAUAUCGAUUGCUUUCCGUGGGACCGAUCUUCAGUUCCAGUCGUACGCAUGCUUUGAAUAAAGUGCUGCUACUUGCUCUUCAAGAAUGAAGUUAUUGAGUAACGUCAUUGCAGCAUUUAUAACAGAAUAAUGAAAACUACGCAAGACAAAAUCGGCGAACAUAUGCUUAUUCACUGCCUCUUCUAGACUUUUAUGCCCUUUCACCUACGUGGU